rnacentral:lncRNA from 1 species
UUAAUAACACUUAGCACUUUUGCAACAGGGAUUAAGACAUCAAUAUGCACCCUGGCCUGAAUACAUAUCACACCAACAUGUCAAGCAUAGAGAGUACAACAAUUACAUAUAAAGAACAUCACCAUAGGGAUAACAUGCACAAAGUUAGGUUACACACAAGAGGCACAAAUGAUGCACUUUACAGAAAAGACUUGGUGGUUUUUACACAGCGAAAAUCGGGAGAGGGAGGUCUAGGACAGGGGUUGCAGAAGCUCCAUGUCCUGCGGUGGCAAGCCGGGACACCGGGAGGACUCGGGACGGCCGGGAAUGGGUCGAUGGUGGCUAGAUCUGGUGGAUCCCGGCCGUAUCGGGCGAGGGACGCGGCCGGCGGCGAGCACCAAGCUCCAUGGGUCGGUGGCAGCCAUGGCGGAGUUCCUGCGGGAGAGAGCACGGGAGAGGUGAGAGGAGAAGGAGACCGGCAGGGGAAGGAGGAGUAGGGCGCGAGGGGCCGGCCUGGUCGGAGGCCGUG